UACGGAGGGUGCGAGCGUUGUCCGGAAUCACUGGGCGUAAAGGGCGCGUAGGCGGUCAGCACAAGUCAGUUGUGAAAUCUCCGAGCUUAACUCGGAACGGUCAACUGAUACUGUGCGACUAGAGUGCGGAAGGGGCAACUGGAAUUCUCGGUGUAGCGGUGAAAUGCGUAGAUAUCGAGAGGAACACCUGCGGCGAAGGCGGGUUGCUGGGCCGACACUGACGCUGAUGCGCGAAAGCCAGGGGAGCGAACGGG
rnacentral:rRNA from 1 species